ACAGCAAAGGAAAGUCAGUAUGAAGCAAUUUACUUUCUGGCAGAAGAUCCAGCUAAAAGCAAUCAGAGGAAAAAGACACACUGAACCUUCAUCAUCAUCAAAGACACAGGUCCUGAAAAAUCAGGACAAGUCAGUGUACUGCACAAUACAGAAUGUAUUAGUUUCAUCAACUAACUGCAAACCCCAGCACAGCCAACACCUAUUCAUCCCGAAGUAUUCUUAUUAAAU